rnacentral:SRP_RNA from 1 species
GUGCAGCCGGGGGAGCAGCGGCCCCUUGUACCUGCAAUCCGCUAUAGCAGGGGUGAUGGCGCGCAGAGGGCCUGCGCCUGUAUUGCUGCCCUCUAUAAGUGGCGAUGAAGUUUGGGUCUUGCGCAACGGGUGUCUGCGAACCGUGUCAGGUUGGGAACAAAGCAGCACUAAACAGAAUUUCCCGUGUGCCGCGAGGGUGCCUGGCGGAGUUAACUGUAGAGGUAACAGAU